rnacentral:lncRNA from 1 species
AGCGAGAGUAGGCGGGAGGAGACGGGAGGGUGAUCGAAACUUCCGGUUUUAAGAGAUAAACAGUGAAGCUUCUUAGCUUCUUCUAUUGUUUCUGAGGAUCUGAAGAGGGAUAACAGGUGGACGGAGGAUGGCGGCACCACUGCUGCUGCAUUCUGCAUUUUGAAGAUAACUGGUUGGUUCGGGUUCGGAGAGACGAAGCCGAUCGAUAACUCUUUAGUUUUCUGUUGAUGCCUUUAUUGUUUUAACACACAACAUUAUUUAAAAUAAUUCCUGGUUUUGACAAAUCCAAUCUGACAGAAAAAAAAAAAACUUUGAAAACUAGAUUAUGAUUAAACUUAAAUAAACAGAUUUUUGGUGAAUUUUCAGGUUUACCAAAACAAAACACUAUUAUACUUUUGCUCUCUAUAUAUAUGAUGUAUUUAGCAAUUUUGACGGGAAAAUGUAUUUUCUAGUUUUGCGCAAAAAUAUGUUUUACGGUUUUUUUGCCGGAAAAAACGUAUUUGUGCAGAAAAAUAUGUUAUGUGGUUUUGCCGAAAAAUGCGUUUUUGUGGUUUUGGCAGAGAAAUAGGUUUUGCGGUUUUAUCGUAAAUGUAUUUUUUCAGUUUUGACAGAAAAAUGUAUUUAGGAAAAUGCAUUUUCGGUUUUGACAAAAUUUUGUUUUUUGCAGUUUUGGCGGGAAAUUAAAUUUUUGCGGUUUUUACAAAAAAAUGUAUUUUUAGUGUUUUUGCAAAAAAUAAGUCUAAACUUGAAUAUAAAUAUUUAUUAAAAUAAAGAUAAAUUUAUCAUUUGUUAUUUGGAUACGUUCAUCUCCUUCCAGAUGCACCAAUUAAACUGAUCUCAAUGAGCCAUCUAGAUGAGUGUUAUUUUAAGCUAAAAUUUUAAAACUCAUUAUGAGAUAUCAUUCAUAUGAUUUGUAAAAGUUUAAACAGAGGAAAAUUACCAAAAAUACCACAUUAAUAGUACAAUUUUUCAUGUUUACACUAACCAAUUUUACUCCCACUUUUAGAAAAGAAAAAAGACAUUUAUAAUCUUAUGGUUAACUAAUCAAGACUUAGGGUUUAGACAUAUUUUUUGCAAAAACACAAAAAAAUGAAUUUUUUGCAAUUUAGGAUUUUAAUAAAUAUAUUAAUAAAUACUUUAAAAAUGUGAAAUUUAGAAUUCUAAUAAAUAUAUUAUUAAAUACUUUAAAAAUUAAAAAUUUUAAAAAAUAGUUUCAAAAAUAAUUUUUGAUUUUCAAAAUGAAAUUUUGAAAAAAAGUUGGAAAAAAAAUUCAAAACAAAUUAUAAAAAAGUUUGAAUUUGGAAAAGUAUAAUUCGAAAACAUAAAAAAAAAUAUUUUUUUAUUUAUUUAAAUAAUUAUUUAUUAUAUAUAUAGAUAACAAUAGUAUAAAAGUAUUUUGCCUCUUAGUGAAAAAUGUAUUUUUGAAAAUAUCUUUUUAGUAUAUGAAUAAUGGUACCAAAAAAAUGGUAAACAUGAAAAUUCUCCUUAAACAAACAACAAUCUCAUCUCCAUCGAGAUGGAUUAUCUAGAUGGUGAAACGAACAAGCUCUUAAGAGCUAUGGUACCUAGAUAAAAUUAACUGUUUGAAAUCUGUAUUUAAUAUCCUACAUAAUUAUGAUACGAAUUUAGAUUUUCAAUUAAAAUAAAUUGUGAAACUUCUAGCUGAAUUUGGAGAAUUUUAAAAUAUACUCAUAAAUUCAUGUUAAAUUCCAAUUUAUACAUUUUCUUCAAUCAAAUUAAAAAAUUAAUGCAAAAUGCUACGGAAAUUAAAAUUACUUUUUGUGACCAAAAUAAUAAAAAUAAAAAAUUAAUUUUACGAUUAUAACUUCAACAAGUUUGAACAUAAUAAUAGAGUCUAUUCAACAUACUUUAUUUGAAGUGUAGAGCGAGAGUAGGCGGGAGGAGACGGAAGGGUGAUCCAAACUUCCGGUUUUAAGAGAUAAACAGUGAAGCUUCUUAGCUUCUUCUAUUGUUUCUGAGGAUCUGAAGAGGGAUAACAGGUGGUGGUGGUGGUAGUCGUGGACGGAGGAUGGCGGCACCACUGCUGCUGCAUUCUGCAUUUUGAAGAUAACUGGUUGGUUCGGG